CAACAUUCUUUUUCCGUAAACAAUUUGAAAGAGAGCGUCGAGUAUUACAGUUGUUGUUGGCUAAAUAGAAUCCAUAAGGCUGUAAAAAGCUUGUUGUAAUUCAUCAUUCCUUGAUGUAUUUUGUACUUAUUUAUGCCUUGGCUUGUUUAUCGACAUGCCAUUGCCAUUUCAUCGAAAAGGAUGGGAAGAAUGAGAACCACUGUGGUCUUCUAAAGCAAUGGCUUAAAUCCUCACUAGUUUCAGUGGAGAUCGUCAAGGAGGGUUUUCACAGGGAGGUGGUAACCACUGUUGAGCUCAGCCCUGAUGUGCUCAGUGAUGUCAGAGUUCUGCUGGUCCAUAGAUGGCCCAGAGGUGUCUUUGUUGAUCCGUACCAACUUGCAUCUCUGAGUGAUCAAAGUGAUUGGCAGAUAUUACUAGAUUCAGCCAUUGACCUAGAGGUGCCUGCUCACAAGACUGUGGGAUUUGUCACCUAUGUGUAUCCCAGCCCUGAUGGACCAACUCCCAGAUUGCUAAAAGUAACAAUUCCCAUACACGGUCGCUACCACGAGCCUUCUUUUGUUGGCGAGACGUUUACAUCUGUCAACAUAGAACCACCAGAGCUGCUGCUGCGGACUGAAAAAUGUACGCAGCUCAACAACAAAGAGCCUUAUACUGCCGUGGUCGCCCCCUGUACUCCCGACAAUUCAAGCACAUGUCAGUGGGUCAAACUCCAGCAUCAGCAGGAGCGAGGCGCGAUGGGUGUCCAGUUUCCAGUGGGCGACGGGUCUUUGGUGAGGCCUGUGUGCGGUGGGACUCUUUUAGUCACAGUGCUCUGCUGUGUGGCACUGUCCAAACACAUGUGGAAACAUCGUAUCAUUAAACAGUGAUGGUCAACAUAUCUUGUGUUUAAAAACUCAUGAUCCUCUAAUGAUACAGUUCUGUCUGAUGCUCACUCUCACUCUGGCAUCUCUGUGAUCGAGGUUUUCGACGUAACCCAUCAAAGGGCCAUAAAUAAUAACACCACACAGACAUUAAUAGGCACGGAUAGAAAAUGCCUGGUGUAUAAAUGAAAAAAUGCAUAGAACACCGUAUCUUGUGAGCUGACACAAACAGAGAACAGGACGAUUUGACAUCAGGCCAGGUUUCUAAAUGGAGGAGGUUCCUGGUUUUUACUCUGUAUAGUAAUCCAGAUAGUUCAGUUCACCAGGUUCUGGGAAUAAUAUGUCCCAGUUACUGUAAGUAAACAUCUGUGUUUUGGUUAAUCCUCUACUUUUUGUGCAAGAUUUCCUCCUUGUUAUAAUCUCAGCUCAGAAGUAGGAGCAUAGCCCAAGCCUACGUAAAGAUGACACUUCUUUAUUUACUGAAUUUAAAACAUUUGUCUAUGGCCACAAAUCAUGUCCCUGUGACAUACUUUUUUCCCCAACUGCAAACAAUAUUUUAAACUCUACAAUAAUAAAAAGCAUAGAUCUGCUCACUCCACUUUGCAGAGUGUGCAGAUUCAGCACAAUAUGUACAUUGAUGUAAAUGGUUGGUGUAAAGAAUGUAAACAAGUAAAAACAAUUCUUUUUAUC